rnacentral:rRNA from 1 species
AGUGAACGCUGGCGGUAGGCCUAACACAUGCAAGUCGAACGGCAGCACAGUAAGAGCUUGCUCUUACGGGUGGCGAGUGGCGGACGGGUGAGGAAUACAUCGGAAUCUACUUUUUCGUGGGGGGUAACGUAGGGAAACUUACGCUAAUACCGCAUACGACCUACGGGUGAAAGCAGGGGAUCUUCGGACCUUGCGCGAUUGAAUGAGCCGAUGUCGGAUUAGCUAGUUGGCGGGGUAAAGGCCCACCAAGGCGACGAUCCGUAGCUGGUCUGAGAGGAUGAUCAGCCACACUGGGACUGAGACACGGUCCAGACUCCUACGGGAGGAAGCAGUGGGGAAUAUUGGACAAUGGGCGCAAGCCUGAUCCAGCCAUACCGCGUGGGUGAAGAAGGCCUUCGGGUUGUAAAGCCCUUUUGUUGGGAAAGAAAAGCAGCAGGUUAAUACCCCGCUGUUCUGACGGUACCCAAAGAAUAAGCACCGGCUAACUUCGUG